rnacentral:misc_RNA from 1 species
GUGAAUCAUCGAAUUUUUGAACGCAAAUUGCACUCUCUUCGGAGAGUAUGCCUGUUUGAGGGUCAGCCUAAAAAAAAUAGACAUAGUUUCUUUUACGCCGUAAAAUUCGUCGGAAAUUGGGUUAAAUUAAACCUUUUGGUUUAAGGGGGCUAAAAUUUUUUUUACGAAUUCAAGAACGUUUUUUAGAUUUUUUCUUCUUAUAAGUUUA